rnacentral:misc_RNA from 1 species
GUUUUUAGUUGUACAUUAUGCACAGUAGACAUUCCAUUACAUUCAGAGUGUGUAAAGUUACUCGAGCGCCAGGCCCAAUAAGGGGCCAUGCAAAGCGGCACUCAGAGUCAUAGAUGCACAGGUGUGUGGAUUUGCGACCUGUCGACGUGCACAUAUGGAUCUCUCCACCAGCAACAGAACAACGAGCCGACUUUGAAGUUUCUUUAAUGAUCCUUCCGCAGGUUCACCUACGGAAA